AACCCAGACCCGGAUGCUGAGGGCUCAAGGUCACAAAGCUUCAUAAAGGGCGGGACUGAGAUACGGACUCGGGUCUCCCUCCGUCUGCUCCUCAGAGGCAACUGCGGGGGCCUGGGCACGCAGCCCAGGGGCUCCCGGACAGCCCACCGCUCUCUCCGGACCUUGGCUUCCCUUUGGCAGAGGGAGUGGCCUGGGCGUAAACGACCUCUACUCUCUCUCCCACCCUCCUGUUGGAAGAGCUCACAGUCCAUGUGCUCUCCCCUCUCACUGAGCAUUCACUUGGCCAAGUCCCCACUCUGCUUCCGAAUUUGGUGCUGACAUUCUGGUGGCAGACAUAUCAGUGUCACCCUGUCAAGUCAAGCAGAACUGCUGGACGCAGUCAUCUUAACCACAGCACACCGAGUGGUGUAGUGGUAACCAGAAUAAACUCAGCACCUGGUCCAGAGACAGCAUUCUUCCACACUGCAGAGAUGAGCCUUUCAGUGCCCCUGCAAGGAGCUGUGUUUUAUCUGAAAAGAUGACUGAGACAGGGCUGCUGGCUGCAAGGAGCUGGAGUUUCAAAGGGAACACGCACAAUGAAUGGAAGCUGUCACAGCUCACAGGUCUUGGGGAAGUGAGUAUGGACUGGGACUGUGUGGAUCAGUGGAAGGGGAGUCAUUCUUUUAGGUUUGUAUGAAGCUUGCCAAUCAAACACAAUUGGGCAGCACAGGAAGCCAAUAAAAUGAGCAUGUUAACGGGUGGGGUGAGCUCCACCGGUCAGAGGCCAAGGAAAGCAGGAUUAGCCAGCACGAUCUUUUCCCAGAUACCAUCAGCUUGGGAUGAAUGACAAGCGACUCUUCCCUUCCCAGUUCCCCUUGUGUGGUGGCGAACGGCUUGCCUUGUACCCGAGGGAGGCUACCCGGCUUCUCCAGAGGCUGUGCAAUGCUGUACCAGCCCCUAAUCCUUCAAUCCUUGGCUUUUUUCCACAAAGCUUAUGUUAAACCAACCCCUCAGAAUGGGCAGGAUGGUGCUAUGCCAAGUGCUUUGAAUCUUGAGCCACAAGUUUGGAUUCAAUUUAAUAUGAAUGAAAAUUGCCUCUAUUUGGGGGACAUAUAUGAAAAGCUAGCUCCCACACUGAACGCCUUAUAUGCCUGGUCUCCUCCAGCCUCCAUUAUGAGAUGAUGAUCUCACUAACAAGAAUUGCUAAUCUCUGAGCAUUUUUUUAGAUAAUUAUGCUAUUCUUAUUUAUUUAUUUCUUCAUUGGCAUGCAUAGCUAUAUAAGUUUAAGGCAUACAGCAGGAUGGUUUGGUACGUGUACUGUGAAAUGAUUACUACAGUAGGUUCACCUAACAUUCAUCUUCUCAUACAGAUACAAUAUCGAGCACUGAUUAUGUGCCCGGGCUGUUUAAAGAGCUUGGUGUGGACUACCUCACUUAGUUGUCACACACACUCUCUAAGUGAGUAAAUCGCAAGCAUGGAGUUUGAUUGGUCUGUUCCUUUGUGACCGCCCCCCACCUAGAUGAAGAUACAGAACCUUUCCCAGCAGGCUCCCUCCUGUUCCCUCCCAGUUAUUACCACUCUCCCCCUACCUCCCACGGAACUGCUCUUUUGAUUUCUAUCACUGCUGAUGAGUUUGGCCAAAUUAACAAAAUCAGUUAAUUAGUUAUUUUUAUUACGGUGAAAUUUACAUAACAAAAUUAACCAUUUUAAAUGGGACAGUGGAGUGGCAUUUAGUAGAUUCACAAUGUUGGAACUCUCGUCCCAAGAUUCUUUCAGCGCCCCACAAGGAAACCCCACGCUCAUUAAGCCCAUUUUUGAACAUCAAAUAAAUGAAUCACACAGCACGACCCUUUGGGUCUGACUUCUUUCUCUCAAUGUCCGUUUGUGAGAUUUACUCAUGUUUGUGCAGCGAGUACCAAAUCAUCCACAUUUAUAGAUGAGGAAAUGGUACAUGGCACAUGGUAUUUCCACUGGUGUGUGGCUAAGCUGUAAUCUCUGGCCCUGGGGCCCUGUUCCUGGACGGCGCACUUCACUGCAGUGGAGGGAACGGGCUCCAGGGAGUGAGGUCAUGGGCCGAAGGCGGCCAGCCAGGAUUGCAGAGAGAUUCCUCUGGCUAACAAAGCCCAAGCUGCUGACCACUAGUGUAUUUUCCGCAUGACUAGCUGUGUGACUUGGGGCCUUUUGCUGGGCCUCUGUUUCCCAGUCUUGCUAAAGCCUUCUGAACCUUCCCUGCUGGGCCAUGAGAGGCUCGGGUGGGGGCCCUUGUAAGAUGCCAGGUGCCUGGCAAACAGACGUUAGGAUUUAGUUGACAUGAUGUGAUUCUUUGGGAACUUGGCAGGGCCGGAUGGGCCCUUGAGGAGAGUUGGUUCUCCUUGGGGGUUGUCGGGUGGUGGGGCCAGGGGCCAGGGGGAGCCCAGUCCUUCCUGUUCUGAGUGUGGCCGAGCUUUAGUAUUUCCUGUGUUUAGCUCCAGCCAGAGUUAGCAUGUCAAACACCUACAACCCAGGGGCUCUGCAUUUAAGGAAGGUCACCUUCUGACAUAUCCAUUCCCAGCCUCUAUUCCUAGAGCCGGAAUCCUCUGGACAGGUCCUGCUGGUGUUUUGUAGGAUGGCAACGUUAUCAUCUAUGAAAUUAGUUAUCUGUUGGUCCGGAAGUCAAAUUAGGAGAACAAAAGAAAGUCAAGGGUGACCACACAUGGGACAGGUGUGCUUUCUGAAGGGUUGGUGCUUUGUUCAAGUGAAUCCCUAUUACAUACCCAGUAUCAGAAAGCUGGCAUAUUAUCAUCUUCUAUAGAGCUGGCUUUAUAGUUCCAAUCCUAUAAAUGAUGUGAAGUAAUGGAGUGUCAUGUCAGGCGUCAUGUCAUGUCAUGCAGUGCCGUAUUCUUGAAUAACUUCUCAUCGCUGAAAGUCUCCAUAUUCCUCUCAGUCCUGUAGCUGUUCCAAGUGUACACUAGGAAAAAGGAACUCGGGGCGUGGAGUCCUUCUGGUUCUAUUAUCGUUUCAGGCAUGAAGUCUUCCACUCCAGCCUUGUUCAAGUCCCAACCCUUCCCUUUCCAAAUGGCUUCUAAGGGGAAAAAAAAAACACGAAUGUUCCAGAAUGUUCUGCUGGCUCACGGAUGAUUUGCCAGGGCAGUUUCCUGGAUUACAGCCUCUUCCUCCAUCAGCAAAUCAUGUGAAACAAACUCCUGUCAGCUGUAAACCCUGAAUGUGGGAAAAAGAGCUGACACACAGGGCUCGUUUUCGUCAAGUUGACAUUUCUCAUGAAUAGCAAAUUACUGAGUGUGGGCAGUUGACCAAGGCCAGGAAUUCUCAUUAGCUGGUGAUAAUCAGGCAUGGUUCUGACUGCAGAAGGCAGCUGGGAGGAGAGGUCAUCUGUGUGGGCAGGGACAACCCACUGCUGAUAAUUGAGCACGAUCUAGCCAGAGUGGUUGCUAAAAUACUGAAAUGCCGUGUAUAGGUCAGUAAUCUCCUUUACUGCCCAGCAGCUUUGACCGUCCCUGGGGACCCCCAUCUCCCCACAGUCCAGCAGGAAAGGGUUAGUGCUGAUCCAGCAAAGGUCUUCCAGACGAGGUUCAAUUGGGGUCUGACCCUGUUCUGGAUGGAACCAUGGAAAACUGGUGGGCAAGUAAAUGACAUGCCUCUCCUGGCUGUGGAGUCCCUUCCUCAGGCUCUGCAAAGAGUCAUGGACUCCAGCCCCAGCCUGCUUCCUGCUUCCUGAGACCACGGCCUCUGAUCCACCUCUUCAGAGUUGAAGGACAGCUAGGAAAUGAGUUAAGCUGAUCAUUUCCCAUCCAGAAGCCAAUCCCACCUCUCUCAUAUCCAUAUUCCCCAAACAGUCAGCGUUAGCUGUUUUUUUUUCCUACCCUCAUCUCUGUAGCAUUUCCUGGUUUUUCCAAACAGAACCUUCACUGGUUCCCAUAAUACUUAGAAGCCACCAUAUCUCUGUGAUCCAAUUUUAUUUUAUGAACACUGUGAUUUUCUUAUGGAAAGAUGGAAGCUUGCAAAUGUUUGUUUUUCUCUUGUUGCUUUGGCUCCUGGGAAGCUCAGAGCCCAGUUUCUAGCUUUCCUCAAAAAAGGGAUUGAUGUGCUCUUUGUGAGCUGACUUUCUCCCUGGCUUCAUCUUGCUUCCGGCCUUCGUCCCUCUAUUCUUUAUUUACAGGUACUUGGAUUAUACCCACCUAUGUGUCCCAGUCAGACUAAAAAAAUUUUUUUGUAUUACCAACUUUAAUGAGGUGUAACUUACAUAACUAAAAGGCAUCUAUUUUCAGUUUAUAGUCUGGUGAAUCUGACAGAUGUAGUUCCCAUGCAGCCACCACCACAAUGAUGACUCGGUCCACAUUUCUACCAUUCUAAAGCGCCCUGUACCUGGUCCCAGCUACCACUGAUCUGCUUUCAGCCACUAUAUAUCAAAUUCACCUUUUUCCAGAAUUUCAUGUAAAUGAAACCAUAUAGUAUGUUGGUCUUUCGUGGCCGCCUUUGCUGACUUGGCAUAAUGCUGUUGAGAUGCAUCCACGUUUUUGUGUAUGCCAGAGACGGUUCCUUUUUACUGCUUAGUAGUAUUCCAGUAUGUGGAUAUACCACUAUUUGUCUUUCCACUUCUUUGUGGAUGGAUAUGUAAGCUAGUUCCAUUUCUGGGCUAUUGUAAAUAUAGCUUCUCUGACCAUUUACAUACAAGUUUGACACCUGACAUACUAGUGAGGGUUCUCCAGAGUAACAGAACCAAUAGGGUCUAUCCAUCUAUCAUCUAUCAUUUAUUCAUUAUAAGUGGCUCACAGGACUAUGGAUACUGAUAAGUUCCAAGAUCUGCAUGCCAGGAGAGGGUAGUGCCUGUCCAGAGGCCAGCAGGCUUCAGACCCAAGAAGACCUAAUGUUUUCGUUUGGGCCUGAAGGCAGGAGAAAAGUCGAUGUCCCAGAUCAAGGGCAGUCAGGCAGGAGGAGGGAUUCCCUUUUACUGAGGUCAUGGUCAGUGUUUUCAUUCUAUUCAGGCCUUCAACUGAUUGGUUAAGGCCCAAUGGCACGAGAGAGGGCAAUCUGCUUUAUUCCAUCUACCAAUUUAAAUCUCAUCCAAAUACAUCCUCACGGAAACAAUGGGAAUAAUGUUUAGCCAGAUAUCUGUGCCCAGUCAAACUAACACAAAUGAAUCAUCAAGUUGACAGAAAGAUUUAAAAUCGCAGCUGGUGUCUGUAAAGGCACAAAUAAAUAUAUAAUCUAAUUGGAUUAUUGAUUUUGGCUUCAGGCCUUGCUCCCUACUGGGGCAGGCCUAUUUGCCAAUUAGGAAUGCAUUCAUUUGGAGGUACUGGAAAGUCUAAUACUAAUGGAGAGAUCAAAUAAAUGUUUUUUCUUCCUGAAUGGAGAAAAUUUUGGAGGUAAUGACGUUGAUAUCUGUUCAGCUGCUCAAUGGUGCCACCAGAGUCCUAAGUUCUUUCUUUUUUCCAUUUUCCACAUCCUGCCGCUGUGGCCUCGUAUUGCAGGUGGCAAGGUCGCUAUCUCCGGGCCGCAGACCAUAAGCGAGGCAGGGAAAUGGGCCUAGGGAAGGAGAAGCACUGGGAGAGACAGCUGAGUCUGUCUCUUUUUUAUCAAGAAAGCAGGAUCUUCCCAGAAGCCUCACCUGGCAGAUUUCUCCUUAUACCUCACUGGCCAGACGGGGUCGUGUUACCACCCUUAAGCUGCAAGGAAACUAGGGAACAGGUUUGUCACGUCCGAUUUAGUCCAAAGGCACAUUGUUAGUCCAGGUGAAAUCAGAGGAGCAACAAAGGAGUAUGGAGUGGGUGCUGGGCAAACAGCUAACACAUCUGCCACUCAGGAAAUCCACUGUUAUAGGCUAGCAUGGCGCCCGGCACGUGAGGGCCCCGGAGAAGUGUGUGUUCGGUUGGACUGACUUCCGAGGUUGCCUGGGUGGGGAGACAGAGUCGGGCCAUGAAUCGCUGGAAGAGGGGUCUCCGUCCCAGCCCGACGACUCCCAGCCACAUGAUCUUGAACAAGCUGCUGAACUUUACAGACCUGUUUCCCAAGUCUGUAAAAUGGGACUAGUUCUUCUUAAAUUAAGAUAAUAUCAGUGGAAGUCCUUUGCAAAGGAUAAGACAGGUAUUGGUUAAAACCACUGUUGCCCUGGAAUGCCAAAAGACAGCUUCCUCCCCAGAUCCCACGUUCUGCUCCUCCUCCUCCUGUGCUGUCCCUAAUGGCUCCUGGGCUUGCGCAGAUUCCGGGGGGAGGGUUGAGAGGGUGUCCCCCUGGCUGGACUUCAUCCUCUUUGCCUUCUGAGUGUCAUGUGGUCAAACGUGGUGGUCCUCCUGCUGUCCCCCAGUUCUCACACACUUCCAGAGACUGGAACUUGAGGUGGAACCCCCACAUACAUACCGACUCCCUGGGCCAGUGUGGCCCAGGGUUACCAGGGCUGUUCACUUCUCUGACCUUGCGAUCUGUCACCCAUGAGUCAAAGCUGCGCAAAUUCAUCCAACAGCCCUUGGGAGGGUCUCCCUGCCCACCACUGCAGCCAGGAUCUUGGCAUCCACACACCGAUCCGGCAGCACUCCGGGCCCUGGUCCUUUCUCGCACUCUUUGGUCUCUCCUUCCCCUUCCUGUGACUUCUUCAUGUGCUGAGAUCUUCUCCAUCUUGACCUUGUCACUUGACCCCACUGGCUUUAGCUUCUUAAUUGUAGUUCCUUUUCUCUCCCUCUCCCCAAUCUCAACCCAUUCAUCCACGCCUCCAUAGCUCUGCCACCUUCACCCCCACUGCAUCCCCUGGCAUAAACGCCACUGCCUGGGCACAUGUCGGGUCUUCUCUUCCAGGCACUCUCUGUAGCAGCCACGGUCACCCUGGCGUCUCCUUUAGCCUUCCUUUCCUCGUUCUUCCGUGUCAUCCCAUCCUCCUCCGGCCCUUGGGCGCUGCUGUGCCUGCUGUUCUGAACUCACCUCCUCUCCCCUCUUGAAACCUGCUCCACUGUGCUUCCACAUCCACCGGUGGCAUUGCUCAGAUCAGCAUUUCCAGCUCAGGUCCUUCUCUUCAGAACCCCGUUUACCGAUAAUGGAAGCUGACAUGCACAGGGGUUAAGAAAUGUGCCCAUGUUCACCCAACGAAGAUGGGGAUGAGAAUCAACUCCAGUUGUUUAUUUCACUGACUUGCUGUCAAACCGUUUGCAGGGGAAGGAAGAGGAAAGAUGUAGCAAGGGGAUUAACAUUUACUGAGAGCUCACUAUGCGCCAGGAGCUGACUGUGCUGGGCAUUUUGGUUCAUUUCAUGUACUCCUUUGUUACUUCAUGAAUCCCUGUUUUCUAGGCGAGGAAACUGAGGACAAGGGAGGGGGAGUAAACUGCCCUUAGCCACGCAGCUAGUACGUGGUGCGGUGGGGCUUUAAGCUCAUGCUUCCAGACAAAGUUUGGGCAUUCUUUUUUCCAGUACACUGUGUAUGUCUCCAGAUUGAGACAAAUGGCCUUUUAAAUUCAAUUAGCCCAGACCAUGUGACCUGUUAUGCCAUCUUUUGGGACAAUGCCCUGAUGGGAAUAGCUGCAUAAUGGGCACAUAAUAUGGCAGCAGGCGUGGACACUGUCUCGAACGAGACUGGGUCAGCAUUUGCAGCAUGGGUGUCAGCAGCCAUGUAAUGCCAUCAUGUCAGCCCUGAAAUACCUUGGGCUAGCUCCAGUGAGAUCCAGGGCCAGCAGACCCAGGGUGCUGUGGAAAAUCUGCUCUGUACUCUUGCCCCUUCCUGGUUAUCUGGGACUUUAAUUCUGGAAUUACCUAGCUGGUUCUAAGUGCGAGGGAAGGAAGGAGUUAAUUCUCUUGGCUGGGCCGUUUGCAGGAAGCCAUGUGCUUUGGUUAUUAAAGUCUGUCCACCGUGGGAGGGAAGAAGUUCGCCCUUCCGGGGGCCUAGUUAAGAAGUAGAAAUAGUUUUCUCUAGGUCAGGCACAUGACGAGGUUGGAGGCCUGCCUGCAGGUUUACGAUGGCUGGUGCCAGGCUGUGGCUCUUGUCUGCCACAUUUUCCUGCUCAUUCGGCAAGAUUCCUUCCUCUGUUAUCUCCUGAUCAGGCUUCUGCCAUGAGAGUCUUGGGCUUACAACACUUCUGAGCUGCCUUUUCAGAUUGCUCUGAAUGUUCUUUCUCAUUUGAUGGCCAUUGUCAUAAGCAAAGAUUUCAAAAAAUUGCAAUGGCAGCACAUGAAAACCCAGUACCGCCCCAGCCCAAACGUAAUUGUGAUGUGUAGAUUUAACCUUCUAAAGUCAUUCCGUUUCCUCUUGCAAAGAAAGCUCUCUGGGUGAGGCAUAAACCCAAUUUUAAAUCAUGAAAAAAACAAAUGGCAGCACAACGAACCACGCAAUAAGAAAAUGGUAAGUUUUACUUCAUUCACAUGAAAACUUUGGCCCUCUGCAAGACACUGUUAAGGAAAUGAGAUGACCAGUCACGGAAUGGGAGACAAUAUGUGCAAGACUAACAAUCCAAUUAAGAAAUGGGCAGAAGAGUUUUUAGAAACACUUUACCAAAGAAUAUAUACGAAUGGACAGUAAGUCUGCAAAAAGACGCUCAGCAUUUGUCAUGAGGGAAAUGUAAAGUAACACCACAAUGAAAUACCAGUACAUACCCACUGGAAUGACUAGAAUGAAAAAGACUGACAAUGCCAACUACCGGUAAGGCUUUGGAGCAAACUGGAACCUUUGUGCAUUACUGACAGGGAGGCAGAAUGGGAUAACGGCCUUAUCUUUUUUUUAAGAUGGUCAAAGAAAGUUUAUUAUAGACUUAGCCAGCUGGGCUCAGUUCAGAUGAUGCCAAUUUUUUGGCAAAGUCCAAAGUAUUGGACAGCUCAUCUUGGGACUGUUUCAUGGAAAGGAAACCUCAGUAUUGCUUAAACCAUAGCAUUUUUGGCCCUCCUUCCAGCAGCUCAGUUUUCACCUGAUUAACCUGGUCGGACUCUGACUAGCUAAACAACUUGCUUCUCUCACCAGCUUUAUUGCUUCUGCCAAUUCUAAUCCAGGCCUCAGCUCAAUUCAAAAUCACUUUCUGUCAGAGGCCUUCACAUGCUCAUGAAUAGUCAAAACUACUGACUGUGGAAAAUAACAAAGGUCCAAUCAAUUAAUCAUUUGAUCCAUCAAAGCACAUGUCUAUGAAUCAUUUAUUUUUAGCUUAGGAACAAGGAGAAUGCCUCUCAGGAAGAGAAGGAAGGAAGCUCUUUUACAGAGCAGCUCUGAUAUACUAGGUGCUAGACCAAGUAUUUACAGUAUUACUAAGUAUUUAAUGAGUUUGACCACAGAACUGCUGUCACUUUACAUUGCAAAUGACGGAAUUGGGUUCAAAAUGACUGAACAGCUUGGCUAGUAUGUCAUGUAGAGUUAGAGGGGCCCAGACCGUGGUGGUAGAAAGGAAGUGGGCCUUGCGCUGGCUGUGAGGUGCCCACAGCAUUUUGCAGACUCCCUCUUGGAGAUGGGAGACUGGGGAGGCCUGGACGUUUAUGAAGGCAGGUGGGCAGAGCUUCGAGAGAAGCUGAGCAUGACUUUCUCGUUUACAGUCUUUUAAUGAGCCCUCAUGGCCUUCCAAUAAAACCCCCACUAUUUAACAGCUUGACAGCAAGUCUUUAGUCACCUGACUUCUGUCUUCUAGCUUCACCUGUCAUCAUGUCACUUUUAUAUUGCUCAUGAUCUCUCUGUUCCCUUGGCUCAUAUCUUGCUGUCCCCUUUGCUGACUCUUCGAGUUGCAAGGUACAGACAUCACCUCCUCCAGGUUGCCUUCUCUCCUGGUAAACCCUCUGCUCCUGCUCUGUGCUCCGCUUUCUCCCAGAGCAGUUGAUUAGCUGUGUGACCCUGUACAACCUAUUUGAGCCUCAGUUUCCACAGCUGUAAAAUGGCUCUGAUAAUAAUCAAUAUGGAGAUAGAGUGAGGGGAAUGAGAUCAUCUCUGCAGAGCUCUGCGUAGUGUCUUGCUCACAGUAAGCAUUCAAUGCCUGUUAGCCCCUCAGCACCACUAGCAUAGUUCUCUGCUCACGCCUCUGCCUCGUGCAGGAGAUUGGAAGUACUGGAAGGCUCAUAGCCCUGUAUCUCCAGCACUUAACCAGGGUGGGACACAGUUAGUGAUCAAUAAAUAUUUGUGUAGGAACCAAGACGUAGGAGUCUCUCUGGCUAUUUCCUUUGGGGAAGGCCCAGGUAGACUAAUUCUGUGAAUGACUUAGUUGAUGGAGUGUUUUACCAGCACCUGUGGUUUGAAGAUAUGUGGUGACUUGCCCAAGGCCACACAGACGGAUUUGGCACAGCACGGAUUUUGUCCUCUGUGCUUGAAGGCUACCACCCCCUCAGCAACCUGAAUGAUCAAGGAAAGGAGAGUUUUUGUUUCAGCGUGGGAGGGAGGAGAUGGAGAAGGCACCGAGAUCCAUCCCCUCCUCUACCUUGUUCUCUGUAGCACAAGACACUGUCUCGUGUCUGAGAGGGCGCACCCUCAGAGAGCAAGUUCCCAUGCUGGCGGCACCCAUUCUCGCCCUCAGUGUCCCAGCCCCUGUAUUCUGACGAACUCUUUGUGGCAUUAUCUUGCUUAUCUGCACACAAGUACUACUGGGUAGGAACUAUUUUAGUCUCCAUUUUAUAGAUGAAGAAACUGAGAUGAAGUAAAUUGCGGAAGCCACCCCUUGGUAAGGAGUGGGGCUGGAAUUCAAGCACAUACAUUCACUCUGAAGCCUGCACAUGAACCUCUGUGCGUUGCUGUCUCCAGCUUUCCAAGUCAAGUCCCAUCAAUGACUUAGCACAUCUUUCCUGAGCCCCUCCUGGAAAAGGCAUUGUGCUAAUGCAGAGCCAUGAGGCUUCCCGGAGGAGGGAACAGAGGAAAGCUACACACAGUGACUGGUCAUCACUAACGUCGAUGGAGGACUUACUACUCAGUGUCACGUGCUAGUCUAGAGACUGUACGUGUAUUAGAUGUAUUUAAUUCUCACAAUGAACCUUUGUGAUAGGUACUAGAUUACUCCCCAUUUUACAGAUUAGGAAACUGAGGUUAAUAGCUUGCACAAGGGCACAUAGCCCCUAAAUGGUAAAGCCUGGAUUUGGGCUUCACGGGUGGGGUAAUGCCAGAGAUAGCAUUUGGAAGAGAAGGGUCAAGGGAAGAUGGGUGUACUGGGAGAGCCACCCAGUGAGAGGGUACCCACAGACCCCUCCUGCCUUUACUCAUGUCAUAUUUUAAUCCACAACCCAUGACUGAUAGCAUCUCUGGGAACAGGCCUGGAACACCUGUGAGAAACUGUGAUAGCUGAGCAAUGCAGCUUCAUUUUGUAGGGAAUGAAAAAUUCUGGAAAGAAAGGUUCUGGGAAUUUGGAGAGACAGAGCCAUAGAUCUGAAGGUCCCUUCCAUUUUCUCAUUCCACCUUAAAUUUAGCCUGCCUGUUUUUUCACCUCUGAACCUUCUCUGGUUCCUAGACCCCACCCUUGCCCCUCCAAUCCCUGUCUAUCCUUCAAGGUCCCUCAUGGUCUGUGCCAGUUUAUGCCUGCCCAUCCUCCCUCCCCCAGUGCAGAGUUAGCCGGCUGUGGGUACCAUUAGCAGCAUCAUUCUUGAAGGGCCCGGGUGAUAUCUGGGCUCUGGAGGCAGACAGACCAGUAUUGAAGCUGGUAGACUAUUUAAUAAUUAAGAUGGUGACUUAGCUAGCCCUGAAUUUUACCAGGAUUGAAGGUUCAGAGUGGUGAAGCAAACCUCCCCAGGCUGUACAGAGUUCUGUUAGAGCAUUCUUGUCCUCACUCUGCUUAACUAAGCUGAGACCUUAAAAUGGGGAUAGUGUUAUCUUUCAGGCACAACAUUUCCUUUCUUGCUCAGUCAAUGUAGAAUUAGCCCUGCUCCCCACCCGCCCCAUCUGUCUUUUCAGAUACAUAUGUCUUCUAUGAAAUGGUAGGAAAUUGGGGGUCAGAGGAUCUUCCUUAGGCUAUUUCCAUGAACCCUACUGGACCUUGCCUCUAAAAAAAAAGCCUCAAAAGAUGCCGAUUAACAAAAGAGUUGCCCCCAAAAAUGUCCAGAAUCAAAGCAAGGUCCAGAAUCCCUGGGGCUGUUUUGGCAUUUCAGUUGUCCUGUCAAAAUGGCCACCCUUGUAGCACAUAGGAGUCAGUUUUCUGGAAAAACCUGUCCUGGAAACAGAGACUAGCUCAAGGGAGUAGGGUGCUAGACAGCCAUCCCAGAGUGAGACCCUAUUUUUCUCCAUUCAGCUGAUUGGAAGGGAGCUGAAUAAUCAUUUAAGUACUCAUUGCAACAGGCCCCGAGGCCCUGGGUUGAGACAGGCAUCCUGAGAUGGCCUGGGUGUUGAUGUGGCUGAUUAUGUGGAUUUCUUCACCGGGAGAGGGAAGAGAUAUAAUCAGGCCCUGGGAGUCCCAGUGGGAAGACACUGGGAGACCCAGCCCUUGGUGUGCUCAUCGGUGUGCUGUCUGGGAAAACCGAGGUGCCCCAGCCAGUUCCUGAGGUGGCUGGUCCCUCACAGCUGCUGCCUGCAACAGUUUGCAUCUCCAGGAGGAGCUUGGUGUGGCCUGAGAGGGAGAGAUGGGCCCUGAGGGAAGAAGCACUGGGGCCAAACUGAGUGGUGCUGACAGAAGGCUUGAUAAUGAUCAGAAGGUGCACCUUCCAGGGAAGGAGGGAAAUGCUGCCCCCUGGAAGUAGAGAAGAGAAAAAAAGAAAACUGCUAAGAACGUGUCCUUGCAGGGUGUUUGAUCCCAGAGAAGCCAAGUCUGGUUUCACUAUGGAUCUUGGCUUGACCAUUUUUCUGGCUCUGCAGGGGAUAAAAAUUUAGUUUCUACUUCCUGUUUCUGAUGGCAGGAAUUGGCCACCCCUAUAAAUUCCUUUGAGGACUAGUGACGUACUAUCUAAUGUUGGAGCUUUAAAAAAAAAAAGGAAAGGGAAAACCCAAAAAUCAGUGUCAUUCACAAAGCUACUGACUUCCCUUUACAGUGAGUAAGCGACAACAAAUUAG